CUCACUGCAACCUCCGCCUCCCAGGUUCAAGCGAUUCUCCUGCUUCAGCCUCCCGAGUAGCUGGGACUACAGGGUCUCACUCUGUUGCCCAGGCUGGAGUGCAGUGGCAGAAUCACGACUCCUGGAGCCUCAACCUCCCAGGAUCAAGUGAUCCUCCUGCCUCUAGGACCACAGGCGGCCCUGCAGCUCCUCGUCCUCCUCCAGCUGCGGGGUCAGGCCAUCAGCAUCAUCCUCUGGAACAGAGCCAAGCCCACUCCAGGUGAGUCUGUGGGAGGGGAAGCAGGCCAAGGCCUGCCCCAGGCUCCCUGCGGGUCACCACCUUCUCUGUCCACUUCCGGGAAAGCACUGGCCGUCCUGCCUGCCUGUGGCUGUUCCUGCUACAAGCCCUGAGCAGCCUCCACAGCAGCACAGCACACCCCUCUCCAG
rnacentral:antisense_RNA from 1 species